AAGUGUACGUAUUGCAGAGCGUACGUAGAUUCGCAGGUAAGUAAUUAAAUAAAUUGAAUAUGGAUUUGUUCAGAUUUAUUAAUCCGUCUUUACAGCUUGGAAACCCGACAGAGACUGACUCGUUACCAGUGCAAGAGCCUUUUUAAAAGGUCUCGAGAAGCCAAAGCGAUCGAUACGGCAUGCAGAAGGCGAUCGAUAACAAGCGAUGAAUAAGCGACGACUAAUACGGCUCAUAUAACUCCUCCAUGCCCAAGUUGAAUGACGUCCUCGUUAUUUGUUAUCUCGGUAUGUUGUGGGCUCCUGUUUGGACUCCUGCUUUUACAUGAACCCCUGUUUUUACAUUUAUAUUUAUAGAUAAUGAAAAUUAUUCCAAUUAUUAGAAUCAGCAUGACAAUUAUAAAUGACGCUAUUGAUGUAUGGAAUUCGAUUCCGAAUUUUGUGAAUUUUGGUGUCUCCAUCGUAGGUACUGCUUGCGUUUUUAGCGGUUCGAAUCUCCGUUGAUGAUCCUCGAUGAUCAAUGGUUGAACUUCCGACACCUUAAGUUCUCCGAGAUUGUCGUCCACCCUAUGUCCCUGUAUCAACAGAUUGUUUCCUCCAAAGAUCUUCGUUCCAAAAAAUGUUUCCUUGUUCUUGUUAUUUUCGAUUUCUGUUUUAUAAUUACUGGAUAUCAGCAUCAAGUUGUUUAGGAGUGGAUACGCCAAUGCUAGAGGCGCAUUUAUUGAAAUUGUUAUUGUUUUUGCGUCUUCUGCGAGGAUUUGAUAGCAUACAUAGUCGCUCUGAUAGAUCAAUUGACAUCUUCUUGAAAAUAAUUUUAUUAUCGAGCCAUCCAGCUUCCACGGUAUCGUUACGAUCUCCGUCUGGUUAUUUCGGUUAAUUAUAGCAAGUCUUUGAAAAAGGGAGAAUUCAAUGGAAUUUAGGAUAGGAAUUUUUAUGGUAUAAAUUAUGGAA